AUUGAACGCUGGCGGCAGGCCUAACACAUGCAAGUCGAACGAGUGGCGGACGGGUGAGUAAUGUCUGGGAAACUGCCUGAUGGAGGGGGAUAACUACUGGAAACGGUAGCUAAUACCGCAUACCAUCAGAUGUGCCCAGAUGGGAUUAGCUAGUUGGUGGGGUACCGGCUCACCAAGGCGCCGCUCCCUAGCUGGUCUGCGUGGAUGACCAGCCACGCUGGAACUGGGACACGGUCCAGACUCUUACGUGAGGCUGCAUUUGGGACUAUUGCACAAUUGGCGCAAUCCGGAUGCAGCCAUGCCGCUUGUAUGAAGAAGGCCUUCGGGUUGUAAAGUACUUUCAGCGGGGAGGCGUUACCCGCAGAAGAAGCACCGGCUAACUCCGUGCCAGCAGCCGCGGUAAUUC
rnacentral:rRNA from 1 species